UACGUAGGGUGCGAGCGUUGUCCGGAAUUAUUGGGCGUAAAGAGCUCGUAGGCGGCUUGUCACGUCGGAUGUGAAAACCCGGGGCUCAACCCCGGGCCUGCAUUCGAUACGGGCAAGCUAGAGUUCGGCAGGGGAGACUGGAAUUCCUGGUGUAGCGGUGAAAUGCGCAGAUAUCAGGAGGAACACCGGUGGCGAAGGCGGGUCUCUGGGCCGAUACUGACGCUGAGGAGCGAAAGCGUGGGGAGCGAACAGG
rnacentral:rRNA from 1 species